CAAAGGUUUGGUCCUGGCCUUCCUAUUAGUUAUUGACAGAAUUACACAUGCAAGCCUCCACAUCCCGGUGAAGAUGCCCUCUAAAUCUAUUAAACGAUUAAAAGGAGCGGGCAUCAGGCACACUAAAUAAGUAGCCCAUAACGCCUUGCUCAACCACACCCCCACGGGAUACAGCAGUGAUAAAAAUUAAGCCAUGAACGAAAGUUUGACUAAGCCAUGUUAAUAUUAAGAGUUGGUAAAUUUCGUGCCAGCCACCGCGGUCAUACGAUUAACCCUAAUUAAUAGGCUCACGGCGUAAAACGUGCUAAGGAUUACAAAACACUAAAGUUAAAAUUUAACCAGGCCGUAAAAAGCUACUGUUAAUAUAAAAUAUACCACGAAAGUGACUUUAUCAUCUCCAACAACACGAUAGCUGGGACCCAAACUGGGAUUAGAUACCCCACUAUGCCCAGCCCUAAACACAAACAAUUUACACAACAAAAU
rnacentral:rRNA from 1 species